rnacentral:rRNA from 1 species
GUCGAACGUUGUUUUUGAAGGUCUUGAUAACAAAGUGGC